GACGAACGCUGGCGGCGUGCUUAACACAUGCAAGUCGAACGGAAAGGCCCUGCUUUUGUGGGGUGCUCGAGUGGCGAACGGGUGAGUAACACGUGAGUAACCUGCCCUUGACUUUGGGAUAACUUCAGGAAACUGGGGCUAAUUCCGGAUAGGAGCUCCUGCUGCAUGGUGGGGGUUGGAAAGUUUCGGCGGUUGGGGAUGGACUCGCGGCUUAUCAGCUUGUUGGUGGGGUAGUGGCUUACCAAGGCUUUGACGGGUAGCCGGCCUGAGAGGGUGACCGGCCACAUUGGUACUGAGAUACGGCCCAGACUCCUACGGGAGGCAGCAGUGGGGAAUAUUGCACAAUGGGCGGAAGCCUGAUGCAGCAACGCCGCGUGCGGGAUGACGGCCUUCGGGUUGUAAACCGCUUUCGCCUGUGACGAAGCGUUAGUGACGGUAAUGGGUAAAGAAGCACCGGCUAACUACGUG
rnacentral:rRNA from 1 species